GCUGGGGAGUACGUCGCAAGAUUAAAACUCAAAGGAAUGACCGGGGCCCGCACNAAGCGGUGGAUGAUGUGGUUUAAUUCGAUGCAACGCGAAAAACCUUACCUACCCCUUGACAUGUCCUGAACCCUGCUGAAAGGCGGGGGUGCCCGAAAGGGAACGGGAACACAGGUGCUGCAUGGCUGUCGUCAGCUCGUGUCGUGAGAUGUUGGGUUAAGUCCCGCAACGAGCGCAACCCUUGCCAUUAGUUGCUACAUUUAGUUGGGCACUCUAAUGGGACUGCCGGUGACAAACCGGAGGAAGGUGGGGAUGACGUCAAGUCCUCAUGGCCCUUAUGGGUAGGGCUACACACGUCAUACAAUGGUCGGUACAGAGGGUUGCCAACCCGCGAGGGGGAGCCAAUCUCAGAAAGCCGAUCGUAGUCCGGAUUGCAGUCUGCAACUCGACUGCAUGAAGUCGGAAUCGCUAGUAAUCGCGGAUCAGCAUGUCGCGGUGAAUACGUUCCCGGGCCUUGUACACACCGCCCGUCACACCAUGGGAGCGGGUUUUACCAGAAGUAGGUAGGCUAACCGCAAGGGGGCCGCUUACCACGGUAGGAUUCGUGACUGGGGUGAAGUCGUAACAAGGUAGCCGUAUCGGAAGGUGCGGCUGGAUCACCUCCUU
rnacentral:rRNA from 1 species